rnacentral:lncRNA from 1 species
CCCACAGCACCUGCUCCCGCAGCAGCCGCGGCCGCACCUGCCGGAAUUUGGGGAGGGGGCUCAGGGGGGGGUUGGGGAGGGGUCCUGGGGGUCAAGGGGGGCAGCGAUGGGGGUGGGGGAACAUUGGGGAGGGGUCUUGGGGGGUGGGGGGCAUUGGGAAGGGGUCUUGGGGGGUGGAGGGGCAUUGGGGAGGGGUCCCAGGGUGUGGCGGCGCAUUGGGGAGGGGUCCCAGAGGCUGAGGGGGUAUUGGGGAGGGGUCCCAGGGUGUGGGAGGGGCAUUGGGGAGGGGUCCUGGAGCAGGGAAGGUUCAUUGGGGAGGGGUCUCAGGGUGUGGGGGAGCAUUGGGGAGGGGUCUCAGGGUGUGGGGGGUAUUGGGGAGGGGUUUUGGGGGGUGGAGGGGUAUUGGGGAGGGGUCCCAGAGGGGGGAAGGGGCAUUGGGGAGGGGUCUUGGGGGUGGAGGGGUAUUGGGGAGGGGUCCCAGAGGCUGAGGGGACAUUGGGGAGGGGUCCCAGAGGGGGGAAGGGGCAUUGGGGAGGGGUCCCAGAGGCUGAGGAGGCAUUGGGGAGGGGUCUUGGGGGGUGGAGGGGUAUUGGGGAGGGGUCCCAGAGGCUGAGGGGGAUUGGGGAGGGGUCCCAGAGGGGGGAAGGGGCAUUGGGGAGGGGUCCCAGGGUGUGGGGGGGCAUUGGGGAGGGGUCCCAGAGGGGGGAAGGGGCAUUGGGGAGGGGUCCCAGGGUGUGGGGGAACAUUGGGGAGGGGUCCCAGGGUGUGGAGGGGUAUUGGGGAGGGGUCCCAGAGGGGGGAAGGGCAUUGGGGAGGGGUCCCGGGGUGUGGAGGGGUAUUGAGGAGGGGUCCCAGGGUGUGGAGGGGUAUUGGGGAGGGGUCCCAGGGUGUGGGGGGCAUUGGGGAGGGGUCCCAGGGUGUGGAGGGGUAUUGAGGAGGGGUCCCAGGGUGUGGGGGGGCAUUGGGGAGGGGUCCCAGAGGCUGAGGGGGCAUUGGGGAGGGGUCCCAGGGCGUGGAGGGGUAUUGGGGAGGGGUCCCAGGGUGUGGGGGGGCAUUGGGGAGGGGUCCCAGGGUGUGGGGGGGCAUUGGGGAGGGGUCCCAGAGGCUGAGGGGGCAUUGGGGAGGGGUCCCAGGGUGUGGGGGGGCAUUGGGGAGGGGUCCCAGAGGGUGGAGGGGUAUUGGGGAGGGGUCCCAGGGGGUGGGGGGGCAUUGGGGAGGGGUCCCAGGGUGUGGAGGGGCAUUGGGGAGGGGUCCCAGAGGCUGAGGGGGCAUUGGGGAGGGGUCCCGGGGGGUGGGGGGGUAUUGGGGAGGGGUCCCAGGGUGUGGAGGGGUAUUGGGGAGGGGUCCCAGGGUGUGGAGGGGUAUUGGGGAGGGGUCCCAGGGUGUGGAGGGGCAUUGGGGAGGGGUCCCAGGGGGUGGGGGGGUAUUGGGGAGGGGUCCCAGGGUGUGGAGGGGCAUUGGGGAGGGGUCCCAGGGUGUGGAGGGGCAUUGGGGAGGGGUCCCAGGGGGUGGGGGGGUAUUGGGGAGGGGUCCCAGGGUGUGGAGGGGCAUUGGGGAGGGGUCCCAGAGGGGGGAAGGGGCAUUGGGGAGGGGUCCCAGAGUGUGGGGGGGCAUUGGGGAGGGGUCCCAGGGUGUGGAAGGGUAUUGGGGAGGGGUCCCAGAGGCUGA